ACUUGGGUAGUCUAAUCAGAUACCUGAUUUCGACUCAGGAGAACUUAAUACUUAAGCCCUAGUA
rnacentral:tRNA from 1 species